CCACGCCCCCCACAGACCACAUUCACAAAAGUGGGGGGCGGGGCCAAAUCGUCUUUAUUCCAUUGUGGGUGGAGCUUGGUGGUGACCACGCCCCUCACAAACCACAUUCAAAAAGUAGGGGCGGAGCCCAAAUCAUCUUUAAUUCAUUGUGGGCGGAGCUUUGAUGUGACCACACCCCCCACAGACCACACCCAACAAAGGGGGCGGGGCCAAACCAUCUUUAUUCCAUGGUGGGCGGAGCUUGGUGGUGACCACGCCCCCCACAGACAACAUCCAAAAAAUGGGGGCGGGGCCCAAAUCACCUUUAAUUCAUUGUGGGCGGAGCUUGGUGGUGACCACGCCCCCACAAACCACAUUUUAAAAAGUGGGGGCGGGGCCAAACCAUCUUUAUUCCAUGGUGGGCGGAGCUUGCUGGUGACCACGCCCCCCACAAACCACAUCCAGCAAAGGGGGCGGGGCCAAAUCGCCUUUAUUCCAUUAUGGGUGGGGCUUUGAUGUGACCACGCCUCCCACAAACCACAUCCAACAAAGUGGGGGCGGGGCCAAACCAUCUUUAUUCCAUGGUGGGCGGAGCUUGGUGGUGACCACGCCCCUACAAACCACAUCC
rnacentral:lncRNA from 1 species